rnacentral:rRNA from 1 species
UACGAAGGGUGCAAGCGUUACUCGGAAUUACUGGGCGUAAAGGGUGCGUAGGUGGUUUUUUAAGUCCGUUGUGAAAUCCCUGGGCUCAACCUGGGAAUGGCAGUGGAUACUGGAAAGCUAGAGUGCGGUAGAGGGUAGUGGAAUUCCCGGUGUAGCAGUGAAAUGCGUAGAGAUCGGGAGGAACACCAGAGGCGAAGGCGGCGACCUGGACGGGCACUGACACUCAACUACGAAAGCGUGGGGAGCAAACAGG